ACAGCACAUUUUUAAAGCUUGAGUUCAGGCCACUGGUUGGCAGAUGAACUCACAAGUGUAGACAGUGUGCUACAUGAGGGGCAAGACUUUCACCAACACCACCAGGGUCUCUGGCCCAAUAAGUAGUGUUUGGUUGUAAUUCUUGCUAUAAAU